GUGGGGAAUAUUGCACAAUGGGGGAAACCCUGAUGCAGCGACGCCGCGUGAGCGAAGAAGUAUUUCGGUAUGUAAAGCUCUAUCAGCAGGGAAGAUAAUGACGGUACCUGACUAAGAAGCCCCGGCUAACUACGUGCCAGCAGCCGCGGUAAUACGUAGGGGGCAAGCGUUAUCCGGAUUUACUGGGUGUAAAGGGAGCGUAGACGGCAAGGCAAGUCUGAUGUGAAAACCCAGGGCUUAACCCUGGGACUGCAUUGGAAACUGUCUGGCUCGAGUGCCGGAGAGGUAAGCGGAAUUCCUAGUGUAGCGGUGAAAUGCGUAGAUAUUAGGGAGAACACCAGUGGCGAAGGCGGCUUACUGGACGGUAACUAACGUUGAGGCUCGAAAGCGUGGGGAGCAAACAGGAUUAGAAACCCUUGUAGUCC
rnacentral:rRNA from 1 species